rnacentral:rRNA from 1 species
UACAGAGGGUGCGAACGUUGCUCGGAAUUACUGGGCGUAAAGCGCGUGUAGGCGGGGCCGCAAGUCAGAUGUGAAAUCCCCGGGCUCAACUCGGGAACUGCAUCUGAAACUGCGAGCCUUGAGUACCGGAGAGGGUGGCGGAAUUCCUGGUGUAGAGGUGAAAUUCGUAGAUAUCAGGAGGAACACCGGUGGCGAAGGCGGCCACCUGGACGGUAACUGACGCUGAGACGCGAAAGCGUGGGGAGCAAACAGG